AGUGAACGCUGGCGGUAGGCCUAACACAUGCAAGUCGAACGGCAGCACAGUAAGAGCUUGCUCUUACGGGUGGCGAGUGGCGUACGGGUGAGGAAUAUAUCGGAAUCUACUUUUUCGUGGGGGAUAACGUAGGGAAACCUACGCUAAUACCGCAUACGACCCACGGGUGAAAGCAGGGGAUCUUUGGACCUUGUGCGAUUGAAUGAGCCGAUGUCGGAUUAGCUAGUUGGCGGGGUAAAGGCCCACCAAGUCGACGAUCCGUAGCUGGUCUGAGAGGAUGAUCGGCCACACUGGAACUGAGACACGGUCCAGACUCCUACGGGAGGCAGCAGUGGGGAAUAUUGGACAAUGGGCGCAAGCCUGAUCCAGCCAUACCGCGUGGGUGAAGAAGGCCUUCGGGUUGUAAAGCCCUUUUGUUGGGAAAGAAAAGCAGCAGGUUAAUACCCCGCUGUUCUGACGGUACCCAAAGAAUAAGCACCGGCUAACUUCGUG
rnacentral:rRNA from 1 species